UACGGGGGGAGCAAGCGUUGUUCGGAUUUACUGGGCGUAAAGGGCGCGUAGGCGGCCAGCACAAGUCAGUUGUGAAAUCUCCGAGCUUAACUCGGAACGGUCAACUGAUACUGUGCGGCUAGAGUGCGGAAGGGGCAACUGGAAUUCUUGGUGUAGCGGUGAAAUGCGUAGAUAUCAAGAGGAACACCUGCGGCGACGGCGGGUUGCUGGGCCGACACUGACGCUGAGGCGCGAAAGCCAGGGGAGCGAACGGG
rnacentral:rRNA from 1 species